CAGUAGCCGCGGGAAUACGGAGGAUCCAAGCGUUAUCCGGAAUCAUUGGGUUUAAAGGGUCCGUAGGCGGUCUUGUAAGUCAGUGGUGAAAGCCCAUCGCUCAACGGUGGAACGGCCAUUGAUACUGCAGGACUUGAAUUAUUGGGAAGUAACUAGAAUAUGUAGUGUAGCGGUGAAAUGCUUAGAGAUUACAUGGAAUACCAAUUGCGAAGGCAGGUUACUACCAAUUGAUUGACGCUGAUGGACAAAAGCGUGGGUAGCGAACAGGAUUAGAUACCCCGGUAGUCCCUGUCUCUUAUAC
rnacentral:rRNA from 1 species